rnacentral:rRNA from 1 species
CGGCAAUGGAGGAAACUCUGACCGAGCAACGCCACGUGAACGAUGAAGUAUUUCGGUACGUAAAGUUCUUUUAUUAGGGAAGAAUAAAUGAUGGAAAAAUCAUUCUGACGGUACCUAAUGAAUAAGCCCCGGCUAACUAUGUGCCAGCAGCCGCGGUAAUACAUAGGGGGCAAGCGUUAUCCGGAAUUAUUGGGCGUAAAGGGUGCGUAGGCGGUUAAAUAAGUUUAUGGUCUAAGUGCAAUGCUCAACAUUGUGAUGCUAUAAAAACUGUUUAGCUAGAGUAAGAUAGAGGCAAGUGGAAUUCCAUGUGUAGUGGUAAAAUGCGUAAAUAUAUGGAGGAACACCAGUAGCGAAGGCGGCUUGCUGGGUCUUUACUGACGCUGAGGCACGAAAGCGUGGGGAGCAAACAGGAUUAGAUACCCUGGUAGUCCACGCCGUAAACGAUGAGUACUAAACGUUGGGUAAAACCAGUGUUGAAGUUAACACAUUAAGUACUCCGCCUGAGUAGUACGUACGCAAGUAUGAAACUUAAAGGAAUUGACGGGACUCCGCACAAGCGGUGGAUCAUGUUGUUUAAUUCGAAGGUACCCGAAAAACCUCACCAGGUCUUGACAUGCUUCUGCAAAGCUGUAGAAACACAGUGGAGGUUAUCAGUUGCACAGGUGGUGCAUGGUUGUCGUCAGCUCGUGUCGUGAGAUGUUGGGUUAAGUCCCGCAACGAGCGCAACCCUUAUUGUUAGUUACCAGCACGUAAUGGUGGGGACUUUAGCAAGACUGCCAGUGAUAAAUUGGAGGAAGGUGGGGACGACGUCAAAUCAUCAUGCCCCUUAUGACCUGGGCUACAAACGUGAUACAAUGGCUGUUACAAAGAGUAGCUGAA